rnacentral:rRNA from 1 species
UGGGGAAUAUUGCGCAAUGGGGGAAACCCUGACGCAGCAACGCCGCGUGCGGGAUGAAGGCCUUCGGGUUGUAAACCGCUUUCAGCAGGGAAGAUAGUGACGGUACCUGCACAAGAAGCCCCGGCUAACUACGUGCCAGCAGCCGCGGUAAUACGUAGGGGGCGAGCGUUAUCCGGAUUCAUUGGGCGUAAAGCGCGCGCAGGCGGCUCUUCAAGCGGAACCUCUAACCCCGGGGCUCAACCUCGGGCCGGGUUCCGAACUGGAGGGCUCGAGUGCGGUAGAGGCAGGCGGAAUUCCCGGUGUAGCGGUGGAAUGCGCAGAUAUCGGGAAGAACACCGAUGGCGAAGGCAGCCUGCUGGGCCGGCACUGACGCUGAGGCGCGAAAGCUAGGGGAGCGAACAGG